CAAGGGACCAAGAGGUGAACCAGGAUCUCCUGGUGGUGAUGGUGCCAAGGGAGAAAAAGGAGACCCGCCAACAGAGAGGGGU